rnacentral:misc_RNA from 1 species
UCUCCGUUGGUGAACCAGCGGAGGGAUCAUUACCGAGUUUACAACUUCCAAACCCAAUGUGAACCAUACCAAACUGUUGCCUCGGCGGGGUCACGCCCCGGGUGCGUCGCAGCCCCGGAACCAGGCGCCCGCCGGAGGGACCAACCAAACUCUUUCUGUAGUCCCCUCGCGGACGUUAUUUUUACAGCUCUGAGCAAAAAUUCAAAAUGAAUCAAAACUUUCAACAACGGAUCUCUUGGUUCUG